GAUGAACGCUGGCGGCGUGCCUAAUACAUGCAAGUCGAGCGAACGGACGAGAAGCUUGCUUCUCUGAUGUUAGCGGCGGACGGGUGAGUAACACGUGGAUAACCUACCUAUAAGACUGGGAUAACUUCGGGAAACCGGAGCUAAUACCGGAUAAUAUUUUGAACCGCAUGGUUCAUAAGUGAAAGACGUUCUUGCUGUCACUUAUAGAUGGAUCCGCGCUGCAUUAGCUAGUUGGUAAGGUAACGGCUUACCAAGGCAACGAUGCAUAGCCGACCUGAGAGGGUGAUCGGCCACACUGGAACUGAGACACGGUCCAGACUCCUACGGGAGGCAGCAGUAGGGAAUCUUCCGCAAUGGGCGAAAGCCUGACGGAGCAACGCCGCGUGAGUGAUGAAGGUCUUCGGAUCGUAAAACUCUGUUAUUAGGGAAGAACAUAUGUGUAAGUAACUGUGCACAUCUUGACGGUACCUAAUCAGAAAGCCACGGCUAACUACGUG
rnacentral:rRNA from 1 species